rnacentral:rRNA from 1 species
GAUGAACGCUGGCGGCGUGCCUAAUACAUGCAAGUCGAGCGAACGGACUAGAAGCUUGCUUCUCUGAUGUUAGCGGCGGACGGGUGAGUAACACGUGGAUAACCUACCUAUAAGACUGGGAUAACUUCGGGAAACCGUAGCUAAUACCGGAUAAUAUUUUGAACCGCAUGGUUCAAAAGUGAAAGACGGUCUUGCUGUCACUUAUAGAUGGAUCCGCGCUGCAUUAGCUAGUUGGUAAGGUAACGGCUUACCAAGGCAACGAUGCAUAGCCGACCUGAGAGGGUGAUCGGCCACACUGGAACUGAGACACGGUCCAGACUCCUACGGGAGGCAGCAGUAGGGAAUCUUCCGCAAAGGGCGAAAGCCUGACGGAGCAACGCCGCGUGAGUGAUGAAGGUCUUCGGAUCGUAAAACUCUGUUAUUAGGGAAGAACAUAUGUGUAAGUAACUGUGCACAUCUUGACGGUACCUAAUCAGAAAGCCACGGCUAACUACGUG